ensembl:misc_RNA Metazoa_SRP Metazoan signal recognition particle RNA
GCCGGGUGCGGUGGCAUGUGCCUGUAAUCCAAGUCACUGGGAGGCUGAGGUUGGUGGAUCAAGUGAGCUGAGGAGCUCUGGGCUGCAGCACGCUAUGUCGAACGGGUGUCCACGCUAAGUUCGGUAUCGAUAUGGUGUUCCUGGGGGAGCCGGGACCACCAGGUUGUCUAAGGAGGGGUGAACCGGCCCAGGUCGGAAACGAAGCAGGUCAAAUCCCCCGUGCUGUCCAGUAGUGGGAUAAUACCUGUGAGUAGAUGCUGCAGUGCAGCCUUGGCAAAACAUCGAGACCUAAUCUUUU